rnacentral:tRNA from 1 species
GGUUGUGGCUCAGUGGUAGAGUGCUCGCCUAGCACGUGUGAGGCCCUGGGUUCAAUCUUCUGCACCA